AUUGAACGCUGGCGGCAGGCCUAACACAUGCAAGUCGAACGAGUGGCGGACGGGUGAGUAAUGUCUGGGAAACUGCCCGAUGGAGGGGGAUAACUACUGGAAACGGUAGCUAAUACCGCAUACCAUCGGAUGUGCCCAGAUGGGAUGAGCUAGUAGGUGGGGUAACGGCUCACCUAGGCGACGCUCCCUAGCUGGUCUGAGAGGAUGACCAGCCACCAUGGAACGUCGACACGGUCCAGACUCCUACGGGAGGCAGCAGUGGGGAAUAUUGCACAAUGGGCGCAAGCCUGAUGCAGCCAUGCCGCGUGUAGGAAGAAGGCCUUCGGGUUGUAAAGUACUUUCAGCGAGGAGGCGUUACUCGCAGAAGAAGCACCGGCUAACUCCGUGCCAGCAGCCGCGGUAAUUC
rnacentral:rRNA from 1 species